rnacentral:lncRNA from 1 species
UGACACCGUUUAAAAACCAAGUGUUGUAUGAAGGCUAGUACACAUAUCAAAUUCUAUUUCAAGCUAGUUUUAUUUUAUUGACUAGACACUUUCAAGUACAGUACACUAAAACUGUAGUGCAGUUCAUCUCAGGAAUUCAUGGCAUUUUAAAUUCAGGUUAACAUCCUUACUAAUUAAAAAAGGGAGAAACAGUGUUAUCAUCGACUGCAAAUGUGCAACUAUAUUUAAUGGCACAAGCAUUUCAGGUAUGUGAUAAGACAACUUGAAUCAGAUAUAUCUAUACUGCAGCUGCAUUUGGUGAUGAAAAUGGUUUGACGUAAACACAGGAUCUAAGCAGUUGAAGGAGGCCAUAUUUUCUUUAAUGUCUCAUGUAAGAAUUACUUAAAUUAAUUUUCUGAACACUGUGUUCAGUAGACUUUAUGUGCUUUGGAAUUCUGUUAUGAAUUCAGAGAGAGGCCAGUGUGAAUGUGAAGAUUGGCCCUCUACCUUAAUGAGUAUCAGUCAAUGCAUUAGGUUGUAAACCACCCCCUCACCCCAGUAUAAUAGGACCAAAUAGUAACUAAAACUCAAUUUAACAAUUUCAAGAUACUUUUACAACAUAAUUCUUCUAACUGCCUAUGUCUUACUGGGAAGGCGGCUUAUUACUUAAAAACAAUUUUCCAAGUGGCUUAAAAGACUUGUGCUUGUCCAUAUUCAAUUUUUUUUUUAACAAAUGGUCCAUUUGCGGGGGAGAAGUGGAGAGAGAGGAUCAGGGUAGGGGAAAGACAAGAGAAAAUGAUAUCAUUCUACUAGUGUCUCCCAUUACUGCUUAAAUGAAGUAUUUUUGUCUUCUUUAAAGUGUGGACAUUUAUAUUUUCACAGACAACCUAAAUGAAGGAAAAAAAUUGGUCAUCUCCUUUUUUUUUCUGUUUUUAUUUACUAAGUCCCUGUUCUUGGAGCCAUUUGCGACAAACCUCUUGAACAUUUGAAAUGUGUGCCCUUUACCUAAAUAAAAAUUACAGAUUAACAGAUCUGUACAACCGAAUAAAAGUAGCUAUAAAAUUAGUGAUAAUUAUUGCCCUGUAAAACGUGUCUGCAGAUGCUCUGAAGAAGGAACCACAGGUCAGAACCAAUGUUUGUCAACAUCCACUAUCUCCACCAUGAGACUCAGUUAUCAUCAGUGUUUAUGACAACCUGGAAGCUAUAGGACACAUGAGAUUCAGUUCCAGAUGCAUCCUUUUAUUUGCAUUCUGUAUAGAAAUGAGAUUCUGCUUAGACUUAGCCCUGAAUUCUGCAUGUGAACUGCGAGUCAUUGGUUCUUUCUACCCUGUUGUUCCUGCAACACAGUCCCUGUUAUCUGAUCAAGGGCACGUUCAACUCCAGAGAGCUCUUCUUUUUAGGCACCAAGUCCAGGACUCCUCUUUGAAGUAAACACUUAUCAAAACUGCCAGAACCAACAUGGACAGUGACUGUGCACUCUACACCACUCCUCAGCCAGGUGGUUUUCAGCUGUGGGUGGAUUGGCAAGCCCUCCCUCAGCGUCAAUUUGCCACUGUCCAGAGAGGUGUCUGGUGGUUGUAUCUGGGUGGAUGUCAGUGGUAUUUGAUGACAGAGGCCAAAGAUACAAAUAAACAUCCUUCAAGACACAGGACUGCUCCCAGAACAAAGAUCCAGCUCCGAAUGGCAGUAGUACCAAGACUGGGAAAUGCCAAGAGCCCUGUGCUUCCAGGGGACUUGGGUGUGAUGACUCUAUUGUUUUUUGCCUCUCUCUCUUUUUUUUUUUUUUUCUUUUUAGGGCUGCAACUGCAACAUAUGGAGGUUCCCAGGCUAAAGGUCUAAUUGGAACUGCAGCCACUGCUCUAUGCCAGAGCCAUAGCAAUGCAGGAUCUGAGACGCAUCUGCGACCUAUACUACAGCUCACAGCAACGCCUGAUCCUUAGUCCACUGAGCGAGGCCAGGGAUUGAACCUGCAACCUCAUGGUUACUAGUCAGAUUCAUUAACCACUGAGCCAUGAUGGGAACUCCCUGAUGACUCUAUUGUAACCUGAACCUACAGCUUACCUCCCCAGUGUACUGUCCUGCCACUCUUUACUUUUUUUUUUAUAAUUAUGUGAUUAUUUCACACCAAUUCUAACACUUUAAAGAAGCAUCUAUUACUAUGCACUUCUGUUAAUUAUUCAAGAUUAUAGAGAACAAAGCUUCAGUUACUUCUGAAAUCAGUCUCAAAUAAAAAUGACCUUUGAAAACACGAUGGUACACACAACUACAAUAUUAAAAGUGGUUAUACAAUAUCUAUACAAGAACAAACUAAGCAAUAGUGGAAAAUGAAAGCAAGCCUACUUAAAGAAAUAUCCUCCGUUAUGUGAGCAAGACAUUUUCUAGAAAAUGAUUCACAAUGGGCUAUUUUUCUUAGUAUUUCUUUCCAUCAGGUACCAUAGCAAGUGGCUCUUAUGGUUCUGUCAUUAGAUGUUGACAUAGUUCCUCCUAUGACUCUCCUGUUCAGUUUUAUAGAAACACAGAAAAUUAUAAAAUUUUGGGGAAAUUUCUGAAAAUGGAUGAUUUUCCCCCAAAACAGGAGAAAGGAUAAUGAACAAAAUUAUCUGUUAAUUCACUCCUGGAAGGACUCAUGCUUUUUAUGCAGCCACCAAGUGUCAAAAGGCCAUUUAAACUAAUAAAAAUGGUAAAUUUAAAUUUAAUUAUGUUUAUAGUACAUAUAAUCAACAGUGACAAGUAUUCUGCCUUGGAUUUCUGUGUAAAUAUGAAAGGUAAACCCUAAAAUGUGUAUGGUAAUAUUUAAACAUUAUAGCAAAAGAAAUGAAAGAAAAAAAUCAGUGUUUUUAGGGAGUUCCUCUUGUGGCUCAGCAGGUUACAAAUCCAACUAAUAUUCAUGAGGAUGCAGGUUCAAUCCCUGGCCUUGCUCGGUGGGUUAAGGAACCAGCAUUGCUGUGAGCUGCAGUGUAGGUCACAGAUGUGGCUUGGAUCCAGAGUUGCUGUGGCUGUGGUGUAGGCCUGCAGCUGAAGCUCCCAUUCAACCUCUAGUCUCAUGUGGCCCUAAAAAUAUGUAUAUAUAUAUUCUUAGCACUGAUAGUGAUUUUUUUCAUAUUCUGGAUCCACCUAACACUGUCUCUGUUUCUUUAAACUGAGAGAUAUCCACACACAGAUUGUGAAAGGUCAUAAGAAAUAUUGUUCCUUAGAUCUCUGGUAGUGAGUCAGUGAAAGUGUCUCAAUUCUUUCCUUUGAAACCCAGCACAUGGCAGUGAAAUUCAAGUCAGUUUUACUCCACACAUUUUAAACUAAAGUAUCAUCAAAAGUGAAUGGAAAGAGGAAACAAAGAAAUAAUUCAUUGGGGUAGAAAUUCUAUUUAUUCCUCCAAUGGGCUUGCUUGAUAACAGCAUUCUAGAAUCAAACCUAAAAAGUUUAGGAAGAUAUCAUCUGCAUGACUACAUCUCACUGGCCGUUUCUCUCCAGGAAAAUUUUUGCCUUCUGAUAAACUUGCAUGUUUACUUUUGCCUCUAUGCCUUUGAGCUUAAUUCAAACAGUAGCAAUUACAGUUUAGGUCCAUAUUCAGGAAGACUUGACAUAACCAGCUAACAUGGUUACAGAUGACUUUCAGGAACACUCCUCUCUUCCCAAGUUAUACCUAGUGAUAAAUCUGAUAGAUGCUGAGGUUUGCACUUUGAGGUUCUUCAAAAAUGAAAUAAGGGGCACAUUGUUAUAAGCAGCAAUUUAUAUUUCCAAAUGAUAGUUGUUUAAAGAAAUCAAUUAACAAAAGUAUGUUAUAUUAUUGUUUCUAACAAUGCCUGGUUAAGUGCUUAAUAAUACAGUAUCAAGUGCAGGCUGUGACCUAUUGAACUCCUCUUUGUGUAUAAAAACAUUCCCACUUUGAAACUGAGCCCAUAUCUAAGUUUCUAUUUCUUUAAUAUCAAACCUCAGCCUCAAAAUCUAAGAGCAUACAGUUUAAAGAAGCUUCCUCUUUUGUAUCUGAAUUGGGAAGAAUCACAACUCUUUACAUAGCAGGGGAAAUAAGAGACUUGAUUCUAGUUGUCCAUUUAUUUCCCCUAAAUUAAGCUAUAUUUCACUUUCCCCAUCUCUUGUCUAAUCUCUGUAAGACCCAAUGACCCAAGAAAAAAAGAUAAACUAACAAUAACUAUUUAUAGACCCAUAAAAGACUGGAAAGUUACAAGAGGAAAAGGAGAAGCAGGAUGAGAAAGAAGAAUCUUCUGAGGCUGGGCUUCCUAAGAAGGUGAUCUUAGGGGAGCUCUGAAUGAUGAAGAGAUAGAUGUUCAGCCCCUGGACCCAAGGACCAGCACUGUCCAAUCAUCUGUAUCAAGACACAGUUGAGGCAAGACCCCUCUGGAAUUUUAGGAAAGUACUUUCUUAUUAAAGACUAAUGUGAACAUCACCUUAUUCACUCUUGAAAAAUUUCCUGAGUUUCACAACAAACAGGUGGGAAAACCUCCAGGAAAGAGGGUAGAAAAGAGUUUGCACUAUUUAAUAAACACUCUCUUCUGGUCAUAUCAAACCCAAUUUUCAAUAUAUGUACUGCACACUCACCUUCCCAGCUUUACACUCAGUGUGAUAAGGCUAACUUGUUGGGUGUCAGUCCUGAUGACUAUGAGACCAGAAGCUAAUGGUAGAUAAGUGGAUUUUUCUGGUGUAUUUUGUAUCACUACUUAUAUUCUUAAAGAAGAAAAAUAUAUUUCCAAGGAAGCAAAAGUACGACUCUUGAUCCAGUCCAUGUGAAGCAGGAAUGGGGGUCCAGGUGUUGGGAGGACAUUUUUAUCCCCUGAGGAAAACCAGUGGAAACUUGGACUCCUGGUUGCCUAGUUUAAAAUCAGAGUAUUUAGGCAAAAGUGAUGUUUUCUGUGACUCUCGCACUAUCCCAAAUGCCACGCCUAACCCCACAUCUGUUCCUCUGUGGAAAUGCGAAGCCUGCUGUGGAUGCAGCCCACUGGACCCAGGCACCAAAGAUACUUCAUCCUCUCAACUCAGGAGAUGUGGCAGAACUGAGAUUAAUUCACACAGUUCAAAAAAAGUUCCCUCGUGUGAGAGAGCUAAAGCAUUCUUUUAAUGGAAGCUUCAAAAUGUCCACUUUUAGAAGGCAGUCUACAUUUUAGGAAAGAAAAUAACAACCACUCUUUCAUUAGUUAAGUCACACAUCAGCUAUUAUUUGAGCUCAUUUUAUGUGCUGAGUACUUUCUUAGACAGAAGCAGCACAUUAGCAAAUUAGACAGUCUUGGGCUUUACCCUUAAGGAGUGCACAGACCAGCAGGGCCUGGAGAGAGUACAAAAGCACAAGCAUGAGACAUACCAUAAGAGGAAGAUCAGGGGGUGUGAGGGACCACACAAUGGCUGGGGCUCACCUCAUCUUAUUAGAACAGGGCUGAUUUCCAAAAUAAGUGACUUUCAGUACAGCAGAUGAGAUGGCCAAUGCAAACAGGGAUUGUGUCAGGGUAGACAUAGGUAUUAGACCUGAGUGUUCCCAAGCCAUCUCCCUCUGUCUCUCUCACCCUUUGAGUCAUCACCUCAAUAAAUGUUGCUAGUGACAAGGUCCUUUGCAUCAUGUAACACUUGCUCGUGCUUUGUUUCUGUAAAUGUGAUUGUGCUUAAUAGCAUACGCACUGUACACACACAACCUUCUGCUCAGGAUUUGGUAGUUUAUACACUUUAGAAGGGAGCAAAAUGUUGACAAUAAGGAUGAUUUAGCACUCCUUUUAUGAUAUCACAGUUGAGAGCAACCCUGAUUGGAAAAAAAGACCAAGGACUAGUGCUUUGAGGCAAAGCACUCAUGAAAGAGGAAGGAGGUUGGAGGAAGGUGCUGAUGUAAGGGGUGAGCAGGGACCAGCACCAGUCAUUCAGCUGGCAGAUGCCCUAGUGUCUUCUAGGCUAAUCUCAUGUGCAAUCUCCUUUUUUAUGGAGGUGGAAGGGUACCUUUGCUCUAAACUUUAAAUUGUAAGGAACUUUCCUUUCAAUGAAACUUCUGUAAUAAUAUAAUAAUUAUAUUAAUAAAUAUAAUAAUAAUAAUGACAAAUGUGACUUAGGAUUUUGGCAUAAAAACAGACAUGUUUUUAGUAUUAAAGGAACAAAAUAGAGAGCCCAGAAAUAAACCCACACAAAUAACAGUCAACUGAUCUUUGACAAGGGUGUUAAAAAUACUCAAUGCAGAAAAGACAGUCUCUUCAACACGUGGUGUUGGGAAAACUGGACAUUCGAAUGCAAUUGCAUGAAACCAGACCCUGCAUAUUACACCCUAAAAAUAAAUGAGUGGAUUAAAGAUUUAAACCUGAGAUGGUAAAACUUCUUGAAUAAAACAUAGCGAAAAAUUUCAUGAUGUUGGGCUUGGUGGUAAUCUCAUAGAUACAAACCAGAAGCCCAAGUGACAAAAGUAAAAUUAGACAGAUGGAACUACACCUCACUAAAAAGCAGCUAAAGAAACAAUCCUCAGAGUGAAAAACCAACUCACAGAAUAGAAGAAAAUAUCUUCAAGCCAUAUAGCUGAUAACAAAUUAAUAUCCAAAAUAUAUAAGGAACUCCUACAACUCAAUAGCAGAAAUUUAAAAAUAUGAAUAACCCAAUUAAAAAAUGAGCAAAGGAGUUGAAUAGAAAUUUCUACAUAAAAGACAUAAAAAUGGUCAAAAGGAAUAUGAAAAAGCAUUCAACAUCACUAAUCAGGGAAAUGCAAAUCAAGAGCACAAAGAGAAAUCAACACCUGUUAGAAUGGUUAUUAAAAAAAAAAAAAAAAAAGACAAGCAUGGGUGAGGAUGUAGAGAAAUCAGAACCCUGGUGCACUGCUGGUGGGAAUGUAAAAUGGUGCAGUAUAUGCAAAUUAGCAUGGAGAUUUCU